ensembl:lncRNA
GAUUACAUCAUAUCACACUGUAGGGUCAGAUUACAUCAUAUCACACUGUAGGGUCAGAUAUCAGGUGAGUUGCACUAAAUCACCAUAGACGUGAUGUGCUGUAUACAUACUACAAUUAUUAUCAUAUUAUAUUUGUCAAGGGCUUCUUAAACAAAAGGUGUAGACUAACAGUGAAAUGCUUAUUUACAGCCCCCUCUUUUGCAGAGAGAAAUAAUAUAGAAAUUAUAACACGAGGAAUAAAUAUAUGCACAAUGAGUGAAGAUAAUUUGGCUGUAUACACGGGGUUCCAGUACAGAGGAGAUGUGCAGGGCUAUGAGGUAAUUGAGGUAGAUAUGUACGUAUAGGUAGGGAUAACUAGGUAACUAGGCAACAGGAUAGAUAAUAAACUGGAACAGUAGUCUUAUCUGAAGAGUCAAAAGAGUGCAGAAAGGGUCAAUGCAGAGAGUAUAAACCUUUAAACUAGUCAACACAUGCAUUUUCCUUAAAUGCUAUGUUUAAAGAGCCCCUAGACCAUGAUACCAUGAUACCAGCACUAAGAGCUCCUAGACCAUGAUACCAUGAUACCAGCACUAAGAGCUCCUAGACCAUGAUACCAUGAUACCAGCACUAAGAGCUCCUAGACCAUGAUACCAUGAUACCAGCACUAAGAGCUCCUAGACCAUGAUACCAGCACUAAGAGCUCCUAGAUCAUGAUACCAUGAUACCAGCACUAAGAGCUCCUAGACCAUGCUACCACAAUACCAGCACUAACAGCUCCUAGACCAUGCUACCAUGCUUCCAGCCCUGUGAGCCCCUAUACCAUGCUACCAUGAUACCAGCACUAAGAGCUCAUAGACCAUGCUACCAUAUUACCAUCACUAAUAGCCCCUAGACCAUGCUACCAUAUUACCAGCACUAAGAGCCCCUAGACCAUGCUACCAUGCUUCCAGCCCUGUGAGCCCCUAGACCAUGCUACCAUAUUACCAGCACUAAGAGCCCCUAGACCAUGCUACCAUGAUACCAGCCCUAAGAGCCCCUAGACCAUGCUAUCAUCCCUAAGAGCUCCUAGACCAUGCUACCAUGUUACCAUACUACCAGCACUAAGAGCUCCUAGACCAUGCUACCAUGUUACCAUACUACCAGCACUAAGAGCCCCUAGACCAUGAUACCAUGAUAGCAGCCCUAAGAGUUCCUAGACCAUGCUACCAUGAUACCAGCACUAAGAGCCCGUAGACCAUGCUACCAUGUUACCAGCCCUGUGAGCCCCUAGACCAUGCUACCAUGUUACCAGCCCUAAAAGCUCCUAGACCCUGCUACCAUGAUACCAGCCCUAUGAGCCCAUAGCCAUGUUACCAUGUUACCAGCCCUGUGAGCCCCUAUACUAUGCUACCAUGUUACCAGCGCUAAGAGCCCCUAUACCAUGCUACCAUGCUACCAGCCCUAAAAGCUCCUAGACUCUGCUACCAUGAUACCCGCCCUAAGAGCCCGUAGACCAUGCUACCAGCCCGUGAGCCCCUAUACCAUGCUACCAUGCUACCAGCCCUAAGAUCUCCUAGACCAUGCUACCAUGUUACCAGCCCUAAGAGCCCCUAGACCAUGCUACCAUGUUACCAGCCCUAAGAGCUCAUAGACCAUGCUACCAUGUUACCAGCACUGAGAGCUCAUAGACCAUGCUACCAUGUUACCAGCCCUAAGAGCCCCUAGACCAUGCUACCAUGCUACCAGCCCUAAGAGCCCCUAUACUAUGCUACCAUGUUACCAGCGCUAAGAGCCCCUAUACCAUGCUACCAUGCUACCAGCCCUAAAAGCUCCUAGACCCUGCUAUCAUGAUACCCGCCCUAAGAGCCCGUAGACCAUGCUACCAGCCCGUGAGCCCCUAUACCAUGCUACCA